UUUCCUUUUCUUCCCCUUCCUAAAUAAAAACUUAUUUUCCCCGACACUCUCCCUUCUUUCCUGAAUUUCUCCAAUCACGUUGCUCCAGUCAUCCGUUUGUGUGUAACCACCGCAGCUUCAAUCGUCCGUUCGUGCGCCACCACCCGAGCUUCAGCCGUCCGUUCGUGCAGGAUCUUCCUCCACCACCCAAGCACCAAACAGGAGCCAUUCAUGUCAGCCACCUCGCACAUGCGUUCUGAUGGCAGCCGUUCCCUCCAGACGGCAGCUAUACAUUCCCUCCACAGGCACCGCGCACGGCUGAGGACAGUCAUCGUCCCAUGCACAGGCACCGUUGACGCACGACUAGAGACUUAGACGCUUCAACCAGACGCUUCACGCACAGGCACCGCCAUAGACGUUCACGCACAGGCCACAGCUAAGGUUUUGUCACCGUCUUGGAAUUCCGGAUAGCGGAUCCCAUACUUAACAACACGUUGAUUUCUUGGAAUACCUCUCAUCGUUUUCGUGAUUCGGUUCAUAUGGUUGAUUGUUUGGGUGAAUGGUUGAUUCCAAAGCCAUGGUAAUAGUGAUGCAACUGGUCUUGCAACAUCACCUGCGCGAUACCCAAUAUCUGCUCAGCAAGUCAUUUAUGAGCUUCGGAUAUACUCUUUGAAGGAGGCAAUGUCUGGUCUGGUACUAGCAUCUCGAGCCAUAAGAGCUACCCAUUGUCUAACAUCUAUAUAGGUUUGUUAAUGAUAAUGACUGUUAUGUUCCUUUGAGUACCUUAAACGAGCAUGAGUUUGUUUUUCUACACAUAAAUUCUCCAAGACCUUUUUCUAAUUAUGAAAAGCAUUUUCCACUACGCCUUUUGUUUGCAAAUUCUAUGUAGUGAAGUGCAAGCUGUGCAAGAUAAUGUUUACUGUGAGAAGAUGUGGCUCAGAGAAUGGAAGGAUUGAGUUCAAUGUUUAGUUAAGGUUUGAAGAAUUCAGGUGUAUUUUCAUGCAUAGAUCAAUGUCUAUACUUUUACCAAUUAAUUGUAUAAAUCCUUUUCAUAAAAGGGGCAUUUAUGUAAUUCUGGGCUUCGCAAGUUGCUUCAUUCGGCAAUACUUUGAUGAGGUUGAGAGGUUUGCCUUCUUCUACGAGUUUGAUCAAAUAAAUUUUCAAUUAUCCUUUGUCAAUUUAUCUUUUUGCCAACCAUUGGAGUCUUUUCCUGUUGUGUGGUUGGCUGAUUAUUUUCUAAUUACACAGUCAAUUCUUCUAUUCAUCUUGAAGGCUAAGCUUCUUAUUAACAAAAAUCCUCCAAGGAAACUAGUUGUACCAACAGAUUGGCCUCUUUUUUUUUUGUAAUUUCUUUUCUCUUUCUUUUUUCUUUUGUUUACUUUCUAAUCUCCAUAUUAGGUAAACCUUGUUGCUUUGUGUUAAGCAAGUCGACUGGUCAAGCAUGCAGUGAAACAAAAUUUUGUUCCAAUAAGACGUGAGAAAAGUACCCAAUAAAGUAAUUUGGAUUUUUGGCUUGGGCGGUUUGCAAUGGUGGGAUUUGUAAUUGCAAUUAGUGUUGAAAUUGCAACAGGCAAGGGACUUUUAGAGGUCUUUUACUAUGCCCAGAAAGUUGUACUUCACCCAAGGUCCACUUUUUUAUCAAGAAACUCAAACUCUAUGCCUAGGUGUAUAUGGGCAUUGAUUGAUAUAUUUUGUUCAUAUUAAACAUAGAGCUAGGUGGAACAAUUUCUUUAUAUGGUAGAAGUUUGGGUUGUUGUAAGUAUGUAAUGACCAACUAUAUGUGUAUUGAACAGUAUGUAAUAACCAACUAUAUGUAUAUGAUUCUAUGCAAUUUGAUAAA